rnacentral:tRNA from 1 species
GUGAAUAUAGCUCAGUGGUAGAGCACAUGCUUAGCAUGCACGAGGUCCUGGGUUCAAGCCUCAGUACCUCCA